rnacentral:misc_RNA from 1 species
GAUGAAGAACGUAGCGAAAUGCGAUAAGUAGUGUGAAUUGCAGAAUUCAGUGAAUCAUCGAAUCCUUGAACGCACAUUGCGCCCCUUGGUAUUCCAUGGGGCAUGCCUGUUCGAGCGUCAUUUGUACCCUCAAGCUUUGCUUGGUGUUGGGUGUUUGUCCCGCGCUCUUUUGCGCAAGACUCGCCUUAAAUCAAUUGGCAGCCGGCAUGUUAGCCUGGAGCGCAGCACAUUUUGCGCCCCUUGCUUGCUUGUGUUGGCCCCCAUCAAGUCCAUAUAUUUGCUCUUGACCUCGGAUCAGGUAGGGAUACCCGCUGAACUUAAGCAUAUCAAUAAGCGGAGGA